UACGUAGGGGGCAAGCGUUGUCCGGAUUUAUUGGGCGUAAAGAGCGUGUAGGCGGUUUGGUAGGUCCGCUGUGAAAACUCGAGGCUCAACCUCGAGACGCCGGUGGAAACCAUCAGGCUAGAGUCCGGAAGAGGAGAGUGGAAUUCCAGGUGUAGCGGUGAAAUGCGUAGAUAUCAGGAAGAACACCCGUGGCGAAGGCGGCUCUCUGGGACGGUACUGACGCUGAGACGGCGAAAGCGUGGGGGAGCGAACAGG
rnacentral:rRNA from 1 species